rnacentral:lncRNA from 1 species
UCAUCACAUAGAUCAAUGACCAACUUCACGUUUUCAGAACUUGUAAUUAUAAUGACAAUUCUUAGGCAUUCGCAAGCUCAAAAUUCAACAACACUUAGUCACUCACCAUUACCAAAAACCACAAUUCAUACAAUUGCUUCAAGCAUCCAAUAUUUGCAAAUUAAAGAUAGAAAAAAUUUAUACUUACAUGCAUAUGCUUGACUCCAAAUACUCACCAAAUUAUUCUACUCUACUAAUAUCGAAUAUUAAGCUAUUGGGAUCAUUGGGGCUUUGUGGCUUUCAAUUGUUAGGCUCUUUGGUUCGAGGUAGGAAAUAUGGGUAUGUGUGGCUAUUCUUCUUGAAUUUAGGUGAUUACGCCAAAAUUUG